UUCCCAGGUUGAAGAAAGACUGCUGCAAAAUGCUGCUUUUGGUCUGCUUUUAAUUAAAAUAUAUCUUCACAGGAACUCUGUUCUUGGAGAAGUUGGAAAAAAGAUGCCUGGACCUUAGAAAGUAGGUCUGAGGAAAACAGACAUCAUCAUCUGAACUCACAUGGGGCAUCUGCUGAUGGAACUUCGCAGUUAGCUGAGACUUCUGAUCUUCACCAUAGAAACCUGUCCCCAGGCUGCCUGAAUGUCCUGACAGAGGGCCAACUAGCUUUCUCUGGAGGGAAUCAUGAGCAAGACAGAUCAAGAUGGAAGUGUUUCUUUUAAGGAAUAAAGUUGAAGGUAUUUUUCUUAGACAACAUUUGUCAAAUUUAUCACAUCAAGAAUUUGAAGAUUUAUAUCAGGUAAUCUUCACUCUGCAUCAUUUCAGCAUACCUGUAUAUCAGUCUUCAAUGAUACAUUUAGCACAGUAAUAAUUGAAAUGCUGUAUAAACUUUGCUACUAGUUUAUUCUUUUUUCU